rnacentral:misc_RNA from 1 species
AGUGAUAUCAGCCUGUUUUCCCUGGUUUUUCACAUGGGGGUUCUUCUUAGGUUUGGUGGACUUUUGUUGUUUGGUUUUUACCAUUUUAGAGCUUUGGAAUAGCUACUAACAAUGAGGUUUCUGCGGGUUCUCUGGCUCGGACAAAAGAGCAAGGAAAGUAGAGAAGUAGCUAACUGCUUAUAGAUAGGGCAAUAGUGUGCCUGCCCGCAGGUGAUCCGUAACUCGCAUAGGGUAAAUGCGGGCUGCUCCUUGGAUUUUUGAAGUGAGAGAGCCUAUGGACUCAAACAAAAUCCAAAAUGGGAGAUGAAGGCAAAAAAAAAAAAAAAGGUUAAAAACA